rnacentral:rRNA from 1 species
UACGAGGGGGGCGAGCGUUGUUCGGAAUUAUUGGGCGUAAAGGGUGCGUAGGCGGUUCCGCAAGUCCUGUGUGAAAUCUUCGGGCUCAACUCGAAGUCUGCACGGGAAACUGCGGGGCUUGAGUGUGGGAGAGGUGAGUGGAAUUCCCGGUGUAGCGGUGGAAUGCGUAGAUAUCGGGAGGAACACCUGUGGCGAAAGCGGCUUCCUGGUCCAGCACCGACGUUCAGGCACGAAAGCGUGGGGAGCAAACAGG